AAUGUAUCUGUUGAGGGGAAAAUAAUCAAUGCAAAUUCCCUGGCAGUGAGGCCAACAAAUAAGACAUGUCUGAUUCAUCAAGCGGACAUUGCUUUAAAGACCACAGUUUCUUCUUUGCCCCCAUUUCUCACUCUUUCCUUCUCUCCAUUUUGUCUCUUUUCCUCCUCUUUCCCACCUCUGGGACACUUCACCCAUUUUUACUCUGUCCACCCUUCUCCGUACAAAAAAAAAAAAAAAACUGUUAGCCUGAAUUAGUGGAAGAAGCUUAAAUUUCUUUCCAUGUGCUCAUUGGAUUUCAUCAUAGACAGCAUAUAAAGACAAUGCAGAUGAUGGUGUGCGCCAUCAAAGCCAAAAUAAGCUUUUGCAGCUGGGCUACCCUGCCUUGCUUGGAUGCAUCAACAAAGCUUGAAGUGGCCACUCUAAUCUGAUGUCCAAACUGUAGCUGCACCAACAACCCCUGGAUGCAGCGAUGAAUGGAGGAGGAAACCACAGAGCCUGACCAGCCACCCAGCCAAACCCCAUCCAGGAUACAACACAUAAACCCAUGUCAGCCAGGUACCUGAUCCACCAGGUCAAAAACAACCCACCAGCCACCCCAUCUCAUCCCCUCCCAGGACAGUAGGCCAGCCCCAGGUCAGGGGCCACAGCAGCAGGGAGACGAGGCAGAGGAAGGCCAAAGAAUAGCCACCCCCACCAAUCACAGACCAGGGRGCAUCCAAUCAAUGAGAAAUCAUCAGGUUUUUCCAGUUCAGUUACCAAGGAGAGACCCAGAGGAGACCCAUUGAACAACAUAUAUCAAACACUAACUGUUGCCCUCAGACACCAUACGUUAGUGAUUAAGUACAAAAUUAGCCUAAUUAACUGUUUUGCUGCCAUCUAUUAUAUACAUGCCUGUAUACUUUACAGUGCCAUCAAGCUGGCGUAUUUUAGUAUAGUAGUCAAUUGAGUUUGUACCCAUAUUCACUCAUAAGUUAUAGCAUACCACAGUAACUGUAUUUCAAAAAAGAAAUUUGCUUUAUUUAAAUUAAUGAGCCUUGUGGCAUUGAUGCCACUAAUUUACCUGCACUGUGGAGACUGAGUAUAGCAGUGAAAAUAAUAUUAGCAUAACUCUGGAUAUUGAUAUAUUUCAUGUGUAAAGUGUAAAGGGUAAAUUUUGAAAGCCUUUGACAUCUGUCUCCUUCUCUCCUUCAUUAUGUGCUGGCUGAUAUUGCAUCUUGAUUUAAUUUUGAAAU